AACGAACGCUGGCGGCAUGCCUAACACAUGCAAGUCGAACGAGACCUUCGGGUCUAGUGGCGCACGGGUGCGUAACGCGUGGGAACCUGCCCUUAGGUUCGGAAUAACUCCCCGAAAGGGGUGCUAAUACCGGAUAAUGUCUUCGGACCAAAGAUUUAUCGCCUUUGGAUGGGCCCGCGUUGGAUUAGCUAGUUGGUAGGGUAAAAGCCUACCAAGGCGACGAUCCAUAGCUGGUCUGAGAGGAUGAUCAGCCACACUGGGACUGAGACACGGCCCAGACUCCUACGGGAGGCAGCAGUGGGGAAUAUUGGACAGUGGGCGAAAGCCUGAGCCAGCAAUGCCGCGUGAGUGAUGAAGGCCUUAGGGUUGUAAAGCUCUUUUACCCGGGAUGAUAAUGACAGUACCGGGAGAAUAAGCUCCGGCUAACUCCGUG
rnacentral:rRNA from 1 species